rnacentral:sRNA from 1 species
AUGUAUUAGGCCCGGGCGUCGGCGUUCAUGGACCGGCGCCCCUUUCAGAGCA